rfam:Propionibacterium sp. oral taxon 192 str. F0372 genomic scaffold acKdT-supercont1.1, whole genome shotgun sequence.
CGGCCCUGAGGCCGGACCGGUCAAAGUGGCCGGGUGGAGCAACGCGCGAAGCCGGUGAGAUCCCGGCGCUGUCCCGCAACGGUAAUGCCUGCGGACGCAGGAUGAGCCCGGUCGACCGUGCUCCACAACCUACG